CGGACGGGUGAGUAACGCGUAGGAAUCUGCCUAGUAGUGGGGGACAACAUGUGGAAACGCAUGCUAAUACCGCAUACGCCCUACGGGGGAAAGCGGGGGAUCUUCGGACCUCGCGCUAUUAGAUGAGCCUGCGUUAGAUUAGCUAGUUGGUGGGGUAAUGGCCUACCAAGGCGACGAUCUAUAGCUGGUCUGAGAGGACGAUCAGCCACACUGGGACUGAGACACGGCCCAGACUCCUACGGGAGGCAGCAGUGGGGAAUAUUGGACAAUGGGCGAAAGCCUGAUCCAGCAAUACCACGUGUGUGAAGAAGGCCUGAGGGUUGUAAAGCACUUUCAAUUGGGAGGAAAACAGCUGGGUUAAUAGCCCCGCUCUUGACAUUACCUUUAGAAGAAGCACCGGCUAACUCCGUGCCAGCAGCGGCGGUAAUACGGAGGGUGCGAGCGUUAAUCGGAAUUACUGGGCGUAAAGCGUACGUAGGCGGUUAUUUAAGUCAGAUGUGAAAGCCCCGGGCUCAACCUGGGAACUGCAUUUGAUACUGGAUAACUAGAGUUUGAUAGAGGAGAGUAGAAUUUCUGGUGUAGCGGUGAAAUGCGUAGAGAUCAGAAGGAAUACCAGUGGCGAAGGCGGCUCUCUGGAUCAAAACUGACGCUGAGGUACGAAAGCGUGGGUAGCAAACAGGAUUAGAUACCCUGGUGGUCCACGCCGUAAACGAUGUCAACUAGCCGUUGGGUCCAAUUAAGGACUUAGUGGCGCAGCUAACGCAUUAAGUUGACCGCCUGGGGAGUACGGCCGCAAGGCUAAAACUCAAAUGAAUUGACGGGGGCCCGCACAAGCGGUGGAGCAUGUGGUCUAAUUCGAUGCAACGCGAAGAACCUUACCUACCCUUGACAUACUAAGAACUUUCCAGAGAUGGAUUGGUGCCUUCGGGAGCUUAGAUACAGGUGCUGCAUGGCUGUCGUCAGCUCGUGUCGUGAGAUGUUGGGUUAAGUCCCGUAACGAGCGCAACCCUUAUCCUUAUUUGCCAGCACGUAAUGGUGGGAACUCUAAGGAGACUGCCGGUGAUAAACCGGAGGAAGGUGGGGACGACGUCAAGUCAUCAUGGCCCUUAUGGGUAGGGCUACACACGUGCUACAAUGGCCGGUACAGAGGGCUGCGAACCUGCGAGAGUAAGCUAAUCCCA
rnacentral:rRNA from 1 species